CCUACGGGCGGCAGCAGUGGGGAAUAUUGGACAAUGGGGGCAACCCUGAUCCAGCCAUGCCGCGUGUGUGAAGAAGGCCCUCGGGUUGUAAAGCACUUUCAGUGAGGAAGAACGCCUGGUGGUUAAUACCCAUCAGGAAAGACAUCACUCACAGAAGAAGCACCGGCUAACUCCGUGCCAGCAGCCGCGGUAAUACGGAGGGUGCGAGCGUUAAUUGGAAUUACUGGGCGUAAAGCGCGCGUAGGUGGCUUGAUAAGCCGGUUGUGAAAGCCCCGGGCUCAACCUGGGAACGGCAUCCGGAACUGUCAAGCUAGAGUGCAGGAGAGGAAGGUAGAAUUCCCGGUGUAGCGGUGAAAUGCGUAGAGAUCGGGAGGAAUACCAGUGGCGAAGGCGGCCUUCUGGACUGACACUGACACUGAGGUGCGAAAGCGUGGGUAGCAAACAGGAUUAGAUACCCUGGUAGUC
rnacentral:rRNA from 1 species